rnacentral:sRNA from 1 species
GCGGAGGAAAAGAAACCAACAGGGAUUGCCCUAGUAACGGCGAGUGAAGCGGCAACAGCUCAAAUUUGAAAUCUGGCUCUCUUUGGGGGUCCGAGUUGUAAUUUGCAGAGGAUGCUUUGGCAUUGGCGGCGGUCUAAGUUCCUUGGAACAGGACAUCGCAGAGGGUGAGAAUCCCGUACGUGGGCGCCUGCCUUUGCCGUGUAAAGCUCCUUCGACGAGUCGAGUUGUUUGGGAAUGCAGCUCUAAAUGGGAGGUAAAUUUCUUCUAAAGCUAAAUACCGGCCAGAGACCGAUAGCGCACAAGUAGAGUGAUCGAAAGAUGAAAAGUACUUUGGAAAGAGAGUCAAAAAGCACGUGAAAUUGUUGAAAGGGAAGCGCUUGCAGCCAGACUUGCCCGCAGUUGCUCACCUAGGCUUUGGCCUGGGGCACUCUUCUGCGGGCAGGCCAGCAUCAGUUUGGGCGGUCGGACAAAGGCCUCUGUCAAGUAUCUCCCUUCGGGGUGACCUUAUAGGGGAGGCGUAAUGCGACCAGCCCGGACUGAGGUCCGCGCAUCUGCUAGGAUGCUGGCGUAAUGGCUGUAAGCGGCCCGUCUUGAAACACGGACCAAGGAGUCUAACAUCUAUGCGAGUGUUUGGGUGUCAAGCCCGGGCGCGCAAUGAAAGUGAACGGAGGUGGGAACCCUUUGGGUGCACCAUCGACCGAUCCUGAUGUCUUCGGAUGGAUUUGAGUAAGAGCAUAGCUGUUGGGACCCGAAAGAUGGUGAACUAUGCUUGAAUAGGGUGAAGCCAGAGGAAACUCUGGUGGAGGCUCGCAGCGGUUCUGACGUGCAAAUCGAUCGUCAAAUUUGGGCAUAGGGGCGAAAGACUAAUCGAACCAUCUAGUAGCUGGUUCCUGC